UGUGGGAGCUGGCCUGCCAGCGAUAGCGGUGGGUCAGUUUGCAUCUGGCACAGACUCACCGCCAUCGCUGGCAGGCCAGCUCCCACA
rnacentral:misc_RNA from 1 species